AUGCUGCCAAGAAGCUUGAACAUGCCAUUAGUAAUGUCUAGCAGCAUGGUAGAAAGAAAAGAAUUCAACGGCUGGCUGUGGGAGCUGCCCGACGGCUUCCGCGUCCUCGUCGACCCCAUCCUCGUCGGCAACCUCAACUUCGGCAUCCCCUGGCUCUUCGACGCCACCAAGAAGAGCCUCCCCAAGUCCCAGCCAAACGCCGGCGUCCUCACCAGCGUCGACCUGCUGCUCAUCACCCAGAGCCUGGACGACCACUGCCACCUCCACACCCUCACCCAGCUCGCCGCCAUCCGCCCCGGCCUCCCCAUCAUUGCCACGCCCAACGCGCGCGCAAUCCUCUCCGCCCUCCCCUUCACCCACGUCACCUACCUCGAGCCCGGCCAGUCCACCACCGCCGCCGCCGUCACCGUGCUCGCCACCGCCGGCCCCGUGCUCGGCCCGCCGUGGCAGCGCCCCGAGAACGGCUACAUCGUUCCACAAGUCAGACCCUUAAUUAAGGCUGGUCGUCGCCAGCGGCGACUACAUCGUCGUCAUCAUUGUUGUCGUCGACGAUGUCAUGCUUCUCUCCUCCGACACGGGAUACUCCAACUCCGAGUCGGCGGGAUCCUCCUCCCCCUCCAUGCUCUCCACGAUAGGGUCGUCGAAAGUCAAGGUGAACCAUCCACUCUCCCACUACUAGGAAAAAGCCUAGCAGCAGCGAGGAAUCCAUCAUUAAGAGAAUCGUUCGGUUGCUGGAUGCAGCAGAAGUCGGUCUUAUGGCCGAAGGCGACCCUGCCGCCCCUCAUCUUCUUGUCCCUGACCUCUCCACCCAGUGAUUGGUAG
rnacentral:rRNA from 1 species